rnacentral:rRNA from 1 species
UAAGUUAGAAAGGGCGCACGGUGGAUGCCUUGACACUAGGAGUCGAUGAAGGACGGGACUAACGCCGAUAUGCUUCGGGGAGCUGUAAGUAAGCUUUGAUCCGAAGAUUUCCGAAUGGGGAAACCCACCAUACGUAAUGGUAUGGUAUCCUUAUCUGAAUACAUAGGGUAAGGAAGACAGACCCAGGGAACUGAAACAUCUAAGUACCUGGAGGAAGAGAAAGCAAAUGCGAUUUCCUGAGUAGCGGCGAGCGAAACGGAACAUAGCCCAAACCAAGAGGCUUGCCUCUUGGGGUUGUAGGACAUUCUAUACGGAGUUACAAAGGAACGAGGUAGACGAAGCGACCUGGAAAGGUCCGUCGUAGAGGGUAACAACCCCGUAGUCGAAACUUCGUUCUCUCUUGAAUGUAUCCUGAGUACGGCGGAACACGUGAAAUUCCGUCGGAAUCUGGGAGGACCAUCUCCCAAGGCUAAAUACUCCCUAGUGAUCGAUAGUGAACCAGUACCGUGAGGGAAAGGUGAAAAGCACCCCGGAAGGGGAGUGAAAGAGAUCCUGAAACCGUGUGCCUACAAAUAGUCAGAGCCCGUUAAUGGGUGAUGGUGUGCCUUUUGUAGAAUGAACCGGCGAGUUACGAUCCCGUGCGAGGUUAAGCUGAAGAGGCGGAGCCGCAGCGAAAGCGAGUCUGAAUAGGGCGUUUAGUACGUGGUCGUAGACCCGAAACCAGGUGAUCUACCCAUGUCCAGGGUGAAGUUCAGGUAACACUGAAUGGAGGCCCGAACCCACGCACGUUGAAAAGUGCGGGGAUGAGGUGUGGGUAGCGGAGAAAUUCCAAUCGAACCUGGAGAUAGCUGGUUCUCCCCGAAAUAGCUUUAGGGCUAGCCUUAAGUGUAAGAGUCUUGGAGGUAGAGCACUGAUUGGACUAGGGGUCCUCAUCGGAUUACCGAAUUCAGUCAAACUCCGAAUGCCAAUGACUUAUCCUUAGGAGUCAGACUGCGAGUGAUAAGAUCCGUAGUCAAAAGGGAAACAGCCCAGACCGCCAGCUAAGGUCCCAAAGUGUGUAUUAAGUGGAAAAGGAUGUGGAGUUGCUUAGACAACUAGGAUGUUGGCUUAGAAGCAGCCACCAUUUAAAGAGUGCGUAAUAGCUCACUAGUCGAGUGACUCUGCGCCGAAAAUGUACCGGGGCUAAAUACACCACCGAAGCUGUGGAUUGAUACCAAUGGUAUCAGUGGUAGGGGAGCGUUCUAAGGACAGUGAAGUCAGACCGGAAGGACUGGUGGAGUGCUUAGAAGUGAGAAUGCCGGUAUGAGUAGCGAAAGACGGGUGAGAAUCCCGUCCACCGAAUGCCUAAGGUUUCCUGAGGAAGGCUCGUCCGCUCAGGGUUAGUCAGGACCUAAGCCGAGGCCGACAGGCGUAGGCGAUGGACAACAGGUUGAUAUUCCUGUACCACCUCUUUAUCGUUUGAGCAAUGGAGGGACGCAGAAGGAUAGAAGAAGCGUGCGAUUGGUUGUGCACGUCCAAGCAGUUAGGCUGAUAAGUAGGCAAAUCCGCUUAUCGUGAAGGCUGAGCUGUGAUGGGGAAGCUCCUUAUGGAGCGAAGUCUUUGAUUCCCCGCUGCCAAGAAAAGCUUCUAGCGAGAUAAAAGGUGCCUGUACCGCAAACCGACACAGGUAGGCGAGGAGAGAAUCCUAAGGUGUGCGAGAGAACUCUGGUUAAGGAACUCGGCAAAAUGACCCCGUAACUUCGGGAGAAGGGGUGCUUUCUUAACGGAAAGCCGCAGUGAAUAGGCCCAAGCGACUGUUUAGCAAAAACACAGCUCUCUGCGAAGCCGUAAGGCGAAGUAUAGGGGGUGACACCUGCCCGGUGCUGGAAGGUUAAGGAGAGGGGUUAGCGUAAGCGAAGCUCUGAACUGAAGCCCCAGUAAACGGCGGCCGUAACUAUAACGGUCCUAAGGUAGCGAAAUUCCUUGUCGGGUAAGUUCCGACCCGCACGAAAGGUGUAACGAUUUGGGCACUGUCUCAACCAGAGACUCGGUGAAAUUAUAGUACCUGUGAAGAUGCAGGUUACCCGCGACAGGACGGAAAGACCCCGUGGAGCUUUACUGUAGCCUGAUAUUGAAUUUUGGUACAGUUUGUACAGGAUAGGCGGGAGCCUUUGAAACCGGAGCGCUAGCUUCGGUGGAGGCGCUGGUGGGAUACCGCCCUGACUGUAUUGAAAUUCUAACCUACGGGUCUUAUCGACCCGGGAGACAGUGUCAGGUGGGCAGUUUGACUGGGGCGGUCGCCUCCUAAAGUGUAACGGAGGCGCCCAAAGGUUCCCUCAGAAUGGUUGGAAAUCAUUCGUAGAGUGCAAAGGCAUAAGGGAGCUUGACUGCGAGACCUACAAGUCGAGCAGGGACGAAAGUCGGGCUUAGUGAUCCGGUGGUUCCGCAUGGAAGGGCCAUCGCUCAACGGAUAAAAGCUACCCCGGGGAUAACAGGCUUAUCUCCCCCAAGAGUCCACAUCGACGGGGAGGUUUGGCACCUCGAUGUCGGCUCAUCGCAUCCUGGGGCUGUAGUCGGUCCCAAGGGUUGGGCUGUUCGCCCAUUAAAGCGGUACGCGAGCUGGGUUCAGAACGUCGUGAGACAGUUCGGUCCCUAUCCGUCGUGGGCGUAGGAAAUUUGAGAGGAGCUGUCCUUAGUACGAGAGGACCGGGAUGGACGCACCGCUGGUGUACCAGUUGUUCUGCCAAGGGCAUAGCUGGGUAGCUAUGUGCGGAAGGGAUAAGUGCUGAAAGCAUCUAAGCAUGAAGCCCCCCUCAAGAUGAGAUUUCCCAUAGCGUAAGCUAGUAAGAUCCCUGAAAGAUGAUCAGGUUGAUAGGUUCGAGGUGGAAGCAUGGUGACAUGUGGAGCUGACGAAUACUAAUAGAUCGAGGACUUAACCA